UAACGGCGAGUGAAGCGGCAACAGCUCAAAUUUGAAAUCUGGCUCUCGGGCCCGAGUUGUAAUUUGUAGAGGAUGCUUUUGAUGCGGUGCCUUCCGAGUUCCCUGGAACGGGACGCCAUAGAGGGUGAGAGCCCCGUCUGGUUGGAUGCCAAAUCUCUGUAAAGCUCCUUCGACGAGUCGAGUAGUUUGGGAAUGCUGCUCUAAAUGGGAGGUAUAUGUCUUCUAAAGCUAAAUACCGGCCAGAGACCGAUAGCGCACAAGUAGAGUGAUCGAAAGAUGAAAAGCACUUUGAAAAGAGAGUUAAAAAGUACGUGAAAUUGUUGAAAGGGAAGCGUUUAUGACCAGACUUGGGCUUGGUUAAUCAUCUGGGGUUCUCCCCAGUGCACUUUUCCAGUCCAGGCCAGCAUCAGUUUUCGCCGGGGGAUAAAGGCUUCGGGAAUGUGGCUCUCUCCGGGGAGUGUUAUAGCCCGUUGCGUAAUACCCUGGCGGGGACUGAGGUUCGCGCAUCUGCAAGGAUGCUGGCGUAAUGGUCAUCAACGACCCGUCUUGAAACACGGACCAAGGAGUCGUCUUCGUAUGCG
rnacentral:misc_RNA from 1 species